rnacentral:rRNA from 1 species
CAAUAGCGUAUAUUAAAGCUGUUGCGGUUAAAAAGCUCGUAGUUGGAUUUCUGUCAAGGACAACUGGUCCGCCCUCCGGGUGAGCACAUAGUUUGGUCUUGGCAUCUUGUUCAAAACUGUUACUGCGCUUGGUUGUGUGGUGCAGUUUUGGGCACUUUCACUUUGAGGAAAUUGGAGUGUUUCAAGCAGGCACAUGCCUUUGGACACAGUAGCAUGGAAUAAUUAGAUUGGGCUUUUGCUCCAACUUGUCGGUUCCUGGAGCUGAGGUGAGAAUCAAUGGGGAUUGUUGGGGGCAUCUGAAUUUAGCCGUCAGAGGUGAAAUUCUUGGAUCUGCUAAAGACGGACAACUGCGAANGNGUUUGCNCAGGAUGUUUNCAUUG